rnacentral:rRNA from 1 species
GCUCAUUAAAUCAGUUAUCGUUUAUUUGAUAGUACCUUACUACUUGGAUAACCGUGGUAAUUCUAGAGCUAAUACAUGCUAAAAACCCCAACUUCGGAAGGGGUGUAUUUAUUAGAUAAAAAACCAAUGCCCUUCGGGGCUCUUUGGUGAUUCAUGAUAACUUCUCAGAUCGCAUGGCCUUGCGCCGGCGACGGUUCAUUCAAAUUUCUGCCCUAUCAACUUUCGAUGGUAAGGUAUUGGCUUACCAUGGUUUCAACGGGUAACGGGGAAUUAGGGUUCGAUUCCGGAGAGGGAGCCUGAGAAACGGCUACCACAUCCAAGGAAGGCAGCAGGCGCGCAAAUUACCCAAUCCCGACACGGGGAGGUAGUGACAAUAAAUACUGAUACAGGGCUCUUUUGGGUCUUGUAAUUGGAAUGAGUACAAUUUAAACCUCUUAACGAGGAACAAUUGGAGGGCAAGUCUGGUGCCAGCAGCCGCGGUAAUUCCAGCUCCAAUAGCGUAUAUUAAAGUUGUUGCAGUUAAAAAGCUCGUAGUUGAACCUUGGGCCUGGCUGGCAGGUCCGCCUCACCGCGUGUACUUGACCGGCCGGGCCUUCUCUUCUGGAGAACCUCAUGCCCUUUACUGGGCGUGUUGGGGACCAGGACUUUUACUUUGAAAAAAUUAGAGUGUUCAAAGCAGGCCUUUGCUCGAAUAUGUUAGCAUGGAAUAAUAGAAUAGGACGUGCGGUCCUAUUUUGUUGGUUUCUAGGACCGCCGUAAUGAUUAAUAGGGACAGUCGGG